UACGGAGGAUGCAAGCGUUAUCCGGAAUGAUUGGGCGUAAAGCGUCCGCAGGUGGCAAUGUAAGUCUGCUGUCAAAGCGUCUGGCUCAACCAGAUAAAGGCAGUGGAAACUACAUAGCUAGAGUACGUUCGGGGCAGAGGGAAUUCCUGGUGUAGCGGUGAAAUGCGUAGAGAUCAGGAAGAACACCAGUGGCGAAGGCGCUCUGCUAGGCCGUAACUGACACUGAGGGACGAAAGCUAGGGGAGCGAAUGAG
rnacentral:rRNA from 1 species